GGAUGCAAUCUCAGAGUGACGUAUAAGGAUACAUUCUUACAGUCAUUCUCCCUAAUAUGAAUUAUCUACAUGUCGGCCAAGAAAUUUAUUGUGUUGGUAAAGACAAAUAAGACAAAUGCCACGAAUAUUGCGCAAACCAAGAUGUAACACAUGUCAGACAAAAUAUUGCCGACCAUUUUAUGAAAAAUUAUCUUACAAUAUAAGAAAAUGAAGAAUAGAUUAAUGUAGUAGAUGUAUGAAAAUUGUGUUAUGAUACAUCUUAAUUGCGUCAUAAGGGUUAGUUAUGUGACGUAAUAUGCACUUGAUAUAGUAUAAACAAGUCAUCGGACAAAGAGCUUUUGAUAGUGUGUUUAGGUUGAACUGGCAACAUGUUAUCAUGUUAUUAUUAAAUAAAUGUAUAAAAUGCAAUGCAGUCACGCUUUUUAAAUAAAGCCUGAUGGAAAUUGUUAUAGAAGGAGCUGAAAAAUAUUGGUCGUUGACAGUGAGUCGUAAUUGUGUAUGGUGAACACAAAAAAGAUAGUUGAAGUGUUUUCGUAGUAUCUUCAGAGUGUGUUGGUGAACCACGUUGUGGUAUUUCAUUCGACCUAUCUAUUUGUCGCAGGCAAGAAAGUCGUCGGAUGCGUUGUAGCCGUUCAUAUUGAAGAGGCUUUUUCCCUUCUGCCUUACCCAUAUGAAGAGAGAGAGACAAAAAGUUCAGAUAUGUCUGCUUGGUGCUGUAGCUCCAAACCGACUCGCGCUAUCUGUGGAAUCAGUAGAAUAUGGGUGUUUAAACAAUAUAGAAGGAAGAGGGUUGCUUCAAGACUACUGGAUUGUGUCAGGGCAGAUUUCAUGUUUGGUGGCGUGGUUGCCAAGGAACAACUGGCUUUUUCCGGCCCAACACCAAUGGGAAGACAGCUGGCCGAAUUCUAUUGUGGAACUGAUCGUUUCCCCGUGUUUCGAUGACAGUCCUCUCCAUGUUCCAAGAUUUGGCGAUGGAAAAAAUUUAGAAUCACCUAUCUGGUUACCAAUUUCAUUGCCUUCGUUUUUGCACCAUGGGGGAGGAGUAAAACACUACGCUCUCCAUAAUGCAAUAAAAUAGUUAAGUACGCUAAUAGCAAUCAAAAUUCUUGGAGAAAAACACUGUUUUCCAGUCCUCGAAGUUUCCCUUCUUGCUCUUGUGGCAAAUUAAACGUGCAACUAAAACUUAAGGACAUUGAAAUGACAAAGGUUGAAGCCGUUUAAAAUACCAAACUAUGUUGUUUAUAUAACUUUAACGAAUAUAAUGUGAUCAACGUAGCUAUAUUUAAAAAUGAUUUAUAUACACUACUGAAACAAGUA